rnacentral:rRNA from 1 species
UACGAAGGGGGCUAGCGUUGUUCGGAAUUACUGGGCGUAAAGCGCACGUAGGCGGACUUUUAAGUCAGGGGUGAAAUCCCGGGGCUCAACCUCGGAACUGCCUUUGAUACUGGAAGUCUUGAGUAUGGAAGAGGUAAGUGGAAUUGCGAGUGUAGAGGUGAAAUUCGUAGAUAUUCGCAGGAACACCAGUGGCGAAGGCGGCUUACUGGCCCGAUACUGACGCUGAGGCACGAAAGCGUGGGGAGCAAACAGG